CAGGUCGCGCGAGACGGCCGACACUCCAACAGCAACGACGUUGUCUCGCGUGAAGGAGAAGA
rnacentral:ribozyme from 21 species